rnacentral:rRNA from 1 species
GACGAACGCUGGCGGCGUGCUUAACACAUGCAAGUCGAACGGUAAGGCUCCAGCUUGCUGGGGUACACGAGUGGCGAACGGGUGAGUAACACGUGGGUGACCUGCCCUGCACUUCGGGAUAAGCCUGGGAAACUGGGUCUAAUACCGGAUAGGACUGCACCGUGAGGGUGUGGUGGAAAGUUUUUUCGGUGUGGGAUGGGCCCGCGGCCUAUCAGCUUGUUGGUGGGGUAAUGGCCUACCAAGGCGGCGACGGGUAGCCGGCCUGAGAGGGUGGACGGCCACAUUGGGACUGAGACACGGCCCAGACUCCUACGGGAGGCAGCAGUGGGGAAUAUUGCACAAUGGGCGGAAGCCUGAUGCAGCGACGCCGCGUGGGGGAUGACGGCCUUCGGGUUGUAAACUCCUUUCACCAUCGACGAAGGGUUUCUGACGGUAGAUGGAGAAGAAGCACCGGCUAACUACGUGCCAGCAGCCGCGGUAAUACGUAGGGUGCGAGCGUUGUCCGGAAUUACUGGGCGUAAAGAGCUCGUAGGUGGUUUGUCGCGUCGUCUGUGAAAUUCCGGGGCUUAACUCCGGGCGUGCAGGCGAUACGGGCAUAACUUGAGUACUGUAGGGGAGACUGGAAUUCCUGGUGUAGCGGUGAAAUGCGCAGAUAUCAGGAGGAACACCGGUGGCGAAGGCGGGUCUCUGGGCAGUAACUGACGCUGAGGAGCGAAAGCAUGGGGAGCGAACAGGAUUAGAUACCCAGGUAGUCCAUGCCGUAAACGGUGGGCGCUAGGUGUGGGUUUCCUUCCACGGGAUCCGUGCCGUAGCUAACGCAUUAAGCGCCCCGCCUGGGGAGUACGGCCGCAAGGCUAAAACUCAAAGGAAUUGACGGGGGCCCGCACAAGCGGCGGAGCAUGUGGAUUAAUUCGAUGCAACGCGAAGAACCUUACCUGGGCUUGACAUAUACAGGAUCGCGCCAGAGAUGGUGUUUCCCUUGUGGCUUGUAUACAGGUGGUGCAUGGUUGUCGUCAGCUCGUGUCGUGAGAUGUUGGGUUAAGUCCCGCAACGAGCGCAACCCUUGUCUUAUGUUGCCAGCACGUUGUGGUGGGGACUCGUAAGAAACUGCCGGGGUUAACUCGGAGGAAGGUGGGGAUGACGUCAAAUCAUCAUGCCCCUUAUGUCCAGGGCUUCACACAUGCUACAAUGGUCGGUACAGUGGGUUGCCAGUCCGUGAGGGCGAGCUAAUCCCGCAAAGCCGGUCUCAGUUCGGAUCGGGGUCUGCAACUCGACCCCGUGAAGUCGGAGUCGCUAGUAAUCGCAGAUCAGCAACGCUGCGGUGAAUACGUUCCCGGGCCU